UGAAGAUUAAUUCUUAAGCUGAAA
rnacentral:piRNA from 1 species